AUGCGUGCCGUGGUGGACACCCACAGAAGGUUCAUGGACCUCUCGGUGGUGUACACCAAUGACUCGGUCUGGGUGGAGCACUCCAUCCACAUCAUGGAGGUGUUGCUUGCCGAGGAGAUGUACAAGGUGGGCGUGUUCGACCUCGAGUACACCCGCGCUUGUGCCGGGUCUCGUCCCAAGGUCGCCGCCGCCCAGAUGUGCGUGCGCCACCACGUCCUCGUCUACCACUACUGCCUGGCCACAAGGCCUUGCGAGCAUUUCGCUAGGUUUGUCAACAACCCCCACUACAUGUUCGCUACGGUGGACAUCACCAACGAUGUAAAGGCGCUCGAGAAUUCGGGCAUCGCCUGCCAGAAUCUUGUCGACAUCCAGGGCCAAUACAAGAUCUGGGGCAGCAAGGAGCAUGAGAAGGACUCACUGGUUCACCUCGUCGAGGCCAUCAUCGACCCCUACUAUAGAGACAUGAAGGAUUCGUGCAACAAGGACAAGUGUGCCUGGCACUCGGCCUGGAUGGAGAAACUCGACAAAGCUCACGUCGUGUACGCGACCAAGGAGGCGUACAUGAGCUACGACAUGUACAGGCAGAUCGUUGACAUGAGGAAGUGCCUCCUUCCCCAAAACGGACAGGGAUCCAGAUGGAAGCAGAGCAAGGGCAAGCGUCGUCGCAACAAUAAGUAG
rnacentral:rRNA from 1 species